CCCCUGGUGGUUCAGUGGCUGAGACGCUGCACUUCCAGUGCAGGGGACCCAGGUUCAAUCCCUGAUCAGGGCA
rnacentral:tRNA from 1 species